CGGUAACAGGGGAGCUUGCUCCCGCUGACGAGUGGCGAACGGGUGAGUAAUGCAUCGGAACGUGCCGAAUAGUGGGGGAUAACGCACCGAAAGGUGUGCUAAUACCGCAUACGCCCUGAGGGGGAAAGUGGGGGACCGCAAGGCCUCACGCUAAUCGAGCGGCCGAUGUCGGAUUAGCUAGUUGGUGGGGUAAAGGCUCACCAAGGCGACGAUCCGUAGCGGGUCUGAGAGGAUGAUCCGCCACACUGGGACUGAGACACGGCCCAGACUCCUACGGGAGGCAGCAGUGGGGAAUUUUGGACAAUGGGGGAAACCCUGAUCCAGCCAUGCCGCGUGUCUGAAGAAGGCCUUCGGGUUGUAAAGGACUUUUGUCCGGGAGGAAACCCUGAUCGUUAAUAGCGGUCGGGACUGACAGUACCGGAAGAAUAAGCACCGGCUAACUACGUGCCAGCAGCCGCG
rnacentral:rRNA from 1 species